rnacentral:lncRNA from 1 species
CUGAGUCUCAGCAGCGGUCCAGUAUUGAUGGUGUGCUCCAAACCAAAAACCUUGAACCAGGUUUGAUGCAAUGGCUCGGUUUGCUGAGGGAACAAAUCAUGAAGAGAUAGUUCCACAGUGUCUCAGUUCUGAAGAAAUCGAGAACAAAGUUGUAACCUUUUUGGAGAAGUCAGGAUUUGCAAAUGAAACUGAAGCUGCCAGAGUAGACUGUGUAAAGGGAGUCUCUGGGAAGCCGUUGCUAAUGGCGUAUAGUUUCUGGGAAGGUGUUGAUGUUCCUGGUCCAAGAUACCAAUAAAGGCCAAAUAGCUGUGUUUUGUCUGGGCAGACUCCUGAGGCCAUGCUGAGAUCAGAUGGCCUUGCUUCGUCCUGAGUGGAGGUGGGUAGGUGGGUGGGUGGGGUUCGCAUGGUGUAAGUAGCCUGUGCAUCCACCAGAGGCCAUGGUGAUUUCCAGGUCCAUGCCAAUGCAGAGGACCAUGUGUUUGUCCUGGGUCACACUGCAAUGAGAGUCUAGGUUGCUGUCCAUGCAACGGGUUACAACAAAAGCCUAUGUAGAUAUCUGUGGGCUGUGCUGCAGCCUGAAGCCAUGUUAAUGUCUAUGUGCUGUGCUGAUGUGAGGGACCUUUGCUGCUACCUGAGGCCACAUUGAUAUCCUUGGUCUGUUCUGCUAUUGAGGGCUAUGAUGGUAUCUGCAUUUUGAUGGACGUCGUCUGUACUGCCACUGGAAAUCAUGCUGGGGUCCAGAUCAUGGUGUGUGCCGAUGCUCAAAACCAUGUAAACACCAGUAGUCUAUGCUGUCUCCAAAAACCAUGUGUAAGUCCUUGAUCCAUGUUCCCGCUGACUCUAAAGAGCAAGGAAGCUACUUAUGCCAUGGUAUUGAUGACUGCAGAAAAGGCACUGAAGUCUACCAACCCAACUCUUCUCCAGACUCUUCCCCCUACCUUGUACUCCUAUCCCCCACCCCCUACCCCCAUCCGUACAAAGAUGGCAAUAGUCUAGACAGAAAGCCCCUAAAGAGCACUCCUAAAAAUUUCAAUAAGGACGCUGAAGUGUAGCUCUCCAAAGUUGAUGGCUUCUAGCAGGGGCACAGGUGGGGAAGGACUCAGUUUUCUUUAAGGGAUUGGCUACUAGGAGUCUAUUCAGCCUCCAGUGAGUAUAUGGGCAAUACAACUUAGACUUGGUUUGUGGUUGUUGUUGUUGUUGUUGUUGUUGUUGUUGUUGUUGUUGUUGUUUUUCUCUGUCACAAGGGUUGGGGUCCAGAGCUGGGAGGACUGGGAAGUAUGCUAAGAUUCGUGAUGUGUAAUUCCCAAAUAAUUGAUAAAGAUAUUAUGGAAAAAUGUAUAUAUGAAAAGCUCCAGUCCUCCCCUUGCUCCCUACAUUCGUGGUAUGUGGUUUUAUUGUCAGCUGUUUAUUCUUUCAUUGUUCACCUUAAAAUACAAAGAGUUGUAAAUGUUCAUAUUUGCCCCUUAUACAUGGUAUAGCAUUCUGUAGUUUCUUCUAGUUCUUAGAAAGGCAUGUUAGGUCUGAAUCCUAGAAAGGGUACCACUGCAUUGUGAGAUGUGGGAUUGAGUACUUUCAUUGUGUAGUUUUCUAGGUCUCCAUGGGUCUGAAGUAUUCCUAAUGAAGAUUAGGUACUUCCAGGAUAUUCUUUGCUAAUUCUCCCUACAUCUGUAAAGUUUUAUAAUGUGGACUUCUGUACUUUUUCAGAGAGUAAUUUGCUAGGUCUCCAUGCAUCUGCAGGAUGAAUCUUCUCAGCCAGGUUCUACACCCUUCAAAGCAAAGAAUAUGUUCUAUUCUGUCGCUACACUUUACACACUCCCUAACACAGUACAGAAUACAUUAUUAGUGCUGCCACGGGCCACAUUUGGGUGCUGACCAUCAUUGUACCUUUGCACUGUGUGAUGAUACAGAAUUUAUUAGUCCCUCUCUUAUGUAGAACACAGUGUUCCUAUCAGGGAAGAUGGUCAGAGACAUGAUGAGAACCCUUCAGCCCAGGAACCUGGUGGAGAAGAUGAUGAACUCUUCACUGCAAAAUGAUACGCCCAUCUAUGACUCAAAGAAGAGGAAGGCCCUUUACCCUAUAAAUUAAAAGUUCACUGCUUUUUAAAACUCAGGAUUGAUAUCAAUGGCGCUGUGAACAGACUCAGGACUGAGCAGAGAUGCUUCGAUUUCUUUUGCUGCUCAGCAGCACAUCGUGCGAUGUUGUUCUUCCAGAAGUGUUCUUUGACAAAUAGUACCCCGGUGAUGCUAGGAGGGGCCUGGUAGCCAGGGCAGGGGAAGCAGUAGCCUGCCCUUCUAACUGGAUGAUGGAUCUACAAAGUCUGAGUGAGGGGGGCCUGUGGUGGUAACUGUGACCAUCUUUCUCUUUUAUGAUUUCUGUUUCUUUUCAUUAUGUUUGACAUUUCUGAGAUAGAGCUUUAUAACUAACUAUUAGCCCAAGGCAAGGACUGGGAAAAUGAGAAGUUGCUGGAAAAGUGACCCUCGUACUGAAACACAAAGUGUGAACAACUGUACUUAUGGCCUGCCAUGAAAGGGACUCCAGCCUGGAUUUAUGUACAGAUAUCACAGUGGAUUUGAUAGAAUAAAAUGAAACCAGCACCCUGUGUCAUUUCUAUUUUUUUUUUAUCUUUCUGUGUUAUAACUUCUGAAAUGGAAG